CCUACGGGAGGCUGCAGUGGGGAAUAUUGGACAAUGGGCGAAAGCCUGAUCCAGCCAUGCCGCGUGUGUGAAGAAGGCCUUCGGGUUGUAAAGCACUUUCAGUGGGGAAGAAAGCCUUGGGGCUAAUACCCUCGAGGAAGGACAUCACCCACAGAAGAAGCACCGGCUAACUCCGUGCCAGAGCCGCGGUAAUACGGAGGGUGCGAGCGUUAAUCGGAAUUACUGGGCGUAAAGCGCGCGUAGGCGGUCUGAUAAGCCGGUUGUGAAAGCCCCGGGCUCAACCUGGGAACGGCAUCCGGAACUGUCAGGCUAGAGUGCAGGAGAGGAAGGUAGAAUUCCCGGUGUAGCGGUGAAAUGCGUAGAGAUCGGGAGGAAUACCAGUGGCGAAGGCGGCCUUCUGGACUGACACUGACGCUGAGGUGCGAAAGCGUGGGUAGCAAACAGGAUUAGAUACCCCGGUAGUC
rnacentral:rRNA from 1 species